GUAUACUAGAUUUUAUUAAAAGUAACAGGAAGAGGGACCAUAUAAUGUAUAUAUACAUAUAUAUAUUCUUGUAAGGAUCAAUAGGCGAGUCGUUCUGGCCAAAUUCGUCUGUCCGUUUGAAUGCCUCAAUCUUAGGAACUAUAUGAGCUAGGUUCCAGGUUUUCUAGGUUUUAUAUGCAAUAGGAUUUUUAUAUGAUAUGCAAAAAAAAAAUUAAAACCCCCACAAACCACUUCUACCACAUCCACACGUUUUUUUUUUAUUUUAUUAUUGUUCUUUCAAUUUCUAUCGAUUUGCAAGAAAAAUUUUCAAAUGUCUCGUUUACACUUUCCACUAGCUCGUUAACGGGUAUCUGUUAGUCGGGGAACUCUACAAUACCGUUCCAUCUUUUCUUUUUGGUUACUGUAUUGUUUUUUGUACAACUAUACACUUCCACACGAACAUUAGUUUCCAAAAAUACGUAUUAAAGAAAUUAAAAUAUUUUCUUUUCAGUUAAAUCAUUUUUUCUGUAAGAAUAUAGACUUUUGACUAAGUCAAAAUUAUUAUUGAAUUUCCAAUUUUAUACGGAUUAAAUUUUAAAAACAUUCUUAGAGACCACAAAAAAAAAGUUUUAUGGAUAUUUCGGCUGAAUUUUCCCCGUUGAGUGAUGAAUAUCUUCUAGUCGUGACACUUAACGCAAUCUCCUCAUUAAAAUAAAAGUCUUACUGUUUAUUAACACUUAUUUCUGUAUUUGCUUUAUGUUUAUGUUUUAUAUAAUUCAAGAUUUAAUUAGUUGAUAUAGAAAUUUUAAUGCUUCUCAUAUCAAUCAUCAAAAACGAUUUUAUUUUUUUUUAUGUAUCGACUAAUAGUAGAUAAUGCGCUUUGAGUGAGCUAAAGUCCAAUUUGCACCCAAAUGCAACAGCACUCCAUAAUAAGUAAUCAAGUAAUCAGUUUCAAGUUCAUCCAUGCAAAUAUGGCUGUUGGCCAACACACUCGAUGAUUCAAUAUGAAUUGAAUUGAUUAGCACAGAGGAUCACGUUUCUGUAUGACAACAUAUUCACAUGGCAGUUAUCAUGUAACUGGCUUCGGUUCAGUUUGGGUUUGGGUUUUCGGCCCCAGUUUCACUUUCAUUCCAGCAUCUGGGCCGGCUAAUUGUCAACGCGGGUUGGCUAAUCGCAUGUGCAGAUUAAAUAACCACUAUCCGUUACUUUGGUUUGAAUCAAAGCAAAUCUUUACGCGAUAACGCCUGAAAACCAACUGAUUUCAGCGGCGGGGCACUGCGAAGUGGCCACUGGCUGUUGACCACCUCCGCGGCUGGGUAUCUGGAGGCGGAAAGCCGGACCGAUGCACUCGACCACACUUCGGGUGGGGCGGCUUACAGCGAUUCGGGUUGCUUUAAUUACACAUGGACACUCUGUGCUGGUCUAAUUUGUAUGCGUAGCCCGCCGCUCGAAAAAAGAAGCUAGCAAACAGCUCGGAAUUCAAAAGCGUAUUGAACACGCACCGGUCACUCGGAUUUCGAUUCAGGUGGACUCUCGGAUUCACCUGACGCCAGCGCGCUCGAAACACGUCUAAGCCCGGCUAGCCGCUCCAAGUUGGCCCGUACCCUAGUCGUCGCCGCUUUUCCAGUUUCAGUUUUCUUUGCGGUCUUGAUUACACACACUGUUUCUCGAAUCUCGAAUCUCGAAUUUUGAUUUGAAUUUUUUAAUGGGGGUCUUCGGCACUAAUCACAGGUCACAGAUGCACACGCAUUCCCGGCCCAAAGUCACCAGAUAAUGGUGAUGGAUGCCAGCCACCUUCCUACUAAUCCGUAUGGCGAUACAGUCCGGCUUCUGUAGAUCGAACACGACUUCUAAGAUAUUUGUCACAUUGCAAAAGAGUGGCACAAAUUGGAAAAACUGGCACCACCAACUGCCAAUUAACAAACUGGGCCUGCAAAAAUCGGUUUUCCUCAAAUUAAGUCCACAUUUUUGAUACCAGUAGCAGUAGCUCAUGGCAACUUAUUGGGCUGGUCAACUGGUCUGGACGGGCGUUUUUUUAAAAUAAAAGUUAAAAUGUAAAAAAAGAUUUCUUGUAUGAUAAAGGAUAAAUUUGCCAUGAGAAGAUAUAACUACUGACUAGGACUGGUGAUUGAAAUGCACGUAGUUUUAAGUUAAGAUUUGGCCACAGACCUGCCUGUCUGUUCUUUUAAGAGAGUGUAGCCUGUGUCCGAUGCCUUAGCCAAUUAGGAAUAGGGUAAGCCGGGCUAAAGAUCGUCCGGUAAACAAUAAACUGUUUGCUUUUCAGGUGUUUGUUAUUUUGAGCAGCUGUUUGGGCCAGAAGCCAGCAAGUGUUCGCAAAUAAAUAACCGGUUAUUGAAAAGUAUAGUAUUUACUUGCAUCGAAUCACAUCGGACAGCUUCGCACCCUGACCAUGAAAUCCGGACGAACCCUCAGUGCCAGACGGCGUCUGCUGGAGAUCGAGAGUUAAGACCCAUUAAACAGAUCGCGUGGGGCGCGUAUACUCGUAGUCCAGUAAACCUGUCAAUUGGCGUAAUCGGCGGCAUGUCAGUCUGGAUUCUAUUGUGGUAAUUACCAGUUCUCGCCACGGAAAUUAGCUGGUAAUGGAUGUGGACUUUGGCUCAUUUUGCCCAACUUUACAGCCAGCAAACGAUUGUAAAAGUGAUUUCGAAUGGUGAUGUUUGCACAAAAAGCUACCGCAAUUUUAGCUUCGCCGCUGCUUUGCAAAGUCUUAUUAUGUCCAGAGUACUUAGCGAUUCCUUUUGUCAUUCUAAUGGUCUCUCGGCACUUUUUCGACAAUACCCACAACCCAUUUGCGUCGUAUGGAGAUGGAAGUGUGGCCUUGACCCAGGUUCCGGGUGUACGUGACGGCAUCACACAUUAAACCAGGCAGUUAACGAUGCUGGCAUCUGAAAAAUACAUAAAUGUAUCCAA